GGAGAGGUGUCCGAGCUGGUCGAAGGAGCUCGACUCGAAAUCGAGUAGGCUUGAAAGAGUCUCGUGGGUUCGAAUCCCACCCUCUCCG
rnacentral:tRNA from 1 species